UUCACCAACUCUGAACUUGUUUAGUCAAGGCUGUAUCACAGUGGAGGUUCCUUCCUCCCUUCAGAGAAAGGCAAAGAUGGCAUCAGUCUUGCCAAUAAGAAUAAGAAAUGAAGAAAGUGAUUCAAGGAAAUUCAACUCCACUUUGACUUGAGGAUAAGUCAUACUAUUAAUUGGAUGCAUGCAUGAGUAAAGACCCCAGAAAAACUGCAGCACCAUGAGACUCUCAACCAUAUCAGUGUCUUGAGAGGAUUUCCUAUAGUGUGGUUAACAAAAACUUCAAUACAUGAAAAUGUAAGCAACAUUAUCAUAAGAAAAAAGAAUCAGGGGAAUUGAAUUGAGUCUUCCCUAAGCUUUUGUGUCUCUCUGGAAGACAGCCGAAAAGUAAAGAAGGUCCAAGUCCAGCCCAGCAGACAACCUGACUCAGAUUUGUGUGAACCAGAGCAGAAAACACAAACAAGCUUCCUGGAACUUCUGAUCUACAAAAUUACUGCUAAGUGGUGGCGACUGUCUAUGCAGCCACAGCCCUAUGAGUGGACACUUCCCAGUUUGGAGAAAAACCAAGAUCAAAGAAGACUGGCAAGACAGAAAGAGACAAAACAUGCUUCACUGCCAUCAACAACAGGGUGUAACCUCUGAGACUGCUGCAGGAGGCAGAAAAAGUCUAAAGAGAAUGAGCUACUUUGGGCUGCAGAGCCUGGAGGGAGAAGAGCAAACCUGGGCACUUUAUCUUUUUUUGAAGGAUGCAAAUUCUGAUAAGGAGGCCAAGCAAGAUCCCUCUUCCUAAACACCACAUCAUUCAUUUCCAAUUCUUUGGGUGAAGAGCCUUGGGCUCCCCCUAGAGGCCAAGACAUGAAACAGGCCUUGUGCUGAGCAGAGCAUAGCUCACCAUUUCAUUUGUAGGAAGACAGAUUUCAAGAAGUAAUAAACCCAUGUCCUGCAAGAAUUUAAAGGGACCUUCAAAUAACAGAAAUCAUAAAAUCUAGCAAAUGAAGUUUAGUGCUGGCAUUGGUAUUUUCUAGCUGUGUCCAUACUCCCUGGCCACUGCAUUGUGCCCAUGGUUGAUGUUUGUGUAAUGUGCCUAGCACUACAACCAUUGUUACUGGGUUUCUAUCACAACAGAUACUUGCAGAUGGAAUCAAUGAACUAAUGGAAGUGUAUGUGGGUAAUAUCUUGAACAAUGAAUGAUUUGUGUGUUUUUAAUUUACAGUAAAGUAGAUUACCAUGCAACUUCCCACCCUUUGAACCAAUAGCACUGAUUACUUCUGUGAGAAGACAGACACCACCUACAAUAACAAAAAAUUGGUCAGUUUUUAGUUUCAAGCACACUUCUCAGAAGCCAUAAUGUGGAGGCUGGCGCCGUGGCUCACUUGGUUAAUCCUCCACCUGCAGCGCUGGCAUCCCAUAUGGGCGCCGGGUUCUUGUCCUGGUUGCUCCUCUUCCAGUCCAGCUCUCUGCUGUGGCCCAGGAAGGCAGUGGAGAAUGGCCCAAGUGUUUGGGCACCUGCACCCACAUGGGAGACCAGGAGGAAGCACCUGGCUCCUGGCUUCAGAUCGGUGCAGCACGCCAGCCAUAGCGGCCAUUUGGGGGGGUGGACCAAUGGAAGGAAGACCUUUCUCUCUGUCUCUCUCUCUCACUGUCUAACUCAAAAAAAAAAAAAAAAGCCAUAAUGUGGAAAUCCUGGAUUUCACGUGUCAGGAGACAAAUUUGGAGACCUGAGAAAAAAGCUCUACCGUGAAGCACAGAGCAAAGUAGAUCUAGGAUACAAAGAGAAUUAGUAUCUAAUAGGGAGGAUUGUGUAAGAAGUCACAUGAGUGGAUAAAUAAGUUCAGACACAGUUGUCCUGGGGGAUGAUGGGACCAUCCAGACAGGUUUUGAUUAAAUCGGAGAAUACUGGGGCUGGUUCCAGCACCCGUGGGUUCAACAUGAACUGAUCAUGGCAGAAAAGCAGAAGGAAAACUAUUGCGAAAAGAGGUCCUAGACAAGAAUUAACAGUUUAUAUCCAAAUGUGGAAAUGUCUAUGUCUUCCCAGGACCUUAAGCAUGGCAUCUGGGAAUCUCAAAGAGGAGCAUUUACAGUCAAAGGGCAGGGAUAAGGACACUAGAAACCAGUAGCAAGUAGUCAGUACCCCACAAAUGAGUACCCUGUGUGCCUAUGGUACUGACUUCUAAAGGUAAGUGUAUUCAUUUCUUAGGGUUGUCGUAUAAAUUAUCCUAAACCAAGUGAUUUGAAGUGACAGAAAUAUAGUUCUCUACUUUUCAAGUCAACAGUCCAAAAUCAAGAAUUGGACAGGGUUGAUUCCUUCUGGAGAUUCUCAGAAGAAAACUAUAGCACACCUCUCUCCUGGAUUCUGGUUGUUGUUGGCAAUUCUUGUUGUUCCUAAGCUGGUGGACACAUCCUGCCACCAUCUUUCAUCUUUAUAUUAUCUUCUCUGUGUGUCCCUCAAGUCUGUCUCUUUCCUCUUACAAAUGAUUCAGGGUCAACCCUACACCCAGGAUCACACUUUGAGAUCUUUGGCUAAGUACAUCUGCAAAGAUCCUAUUCCAAAUUUUGAGAUACCAGAAUAAAAAUUUGAGGAGACCCUAUUGAAUCCACUAUGGUGGAAUUAAAAUUCAGCAGUAAUAGCUGGGAAAAGACAAAGUCUCAAUUGCAUGCAGGAGAGCUAGUAUACUAAAAUGAAAAGAAAAAUCUAAAUGACUCUGAUAGGCUAGAAAUAUUCUUACAAUCAUGUUCUAUUUUACUCACUUUCUGGUCAUGUCUAUACUAUAGAGCUUACAUAAAUUUUUUGAUAUUGUAUCACUUGGAGUGCUUAGGUCUAAUGAUAUCAUUGUAGAGGAAUUAGAGAACAUAUAAGGAUGAAAUGUAUAUGUGAAUCAUGUGAAUAAAAUAUAUGUUACAGAUUCAAGGAGAAACUAAUCUUUCAUCAGUUGGAUCCUAAAUGCAGUCAGUGUACAAUUGACUGGAAUUGACAUCUGUGUACAGGAACGGAACUCAUCACAGAAGCCCUUAGAUCUUAUUUUUUUUUAAAUUAUUUAUUUGAAAGGCAGAGUUACAGAAAUAGAGAGGGAGAGGGAGA